UCGGGAAUUUUGGGCAAUGGCCGAAAGCCUGACCCAGCAACGCCGCGUGAAGGAUGAAGUAUUUCGGUAUGUAAACUUCGAAAGAAUAGGAAGAAUAAAUGACGGUACUUAUAA
rnacentral:rRNA from 1 species